GUUCUGGUUGUGAAAAACAGGAAACGUCAGACAGCCAAUGAAGAAGAACAGAAACCAGAGCAAAGUCAGAACGUGGGCUCUGAUGACGUGAACUACGCAGCAGUGACAUUUCGAACAACAAGAGCAAAAAGAAGAGAGCUGGAGUUAAAUGUUGUUUAUGCUGCCACCAGAUAGACUCAGCAGGCGACUGGAACUGAUGCUGGAGCAUAUUAAUGUGCUGCUUCAGAGCUUUUGUUUGACUUGUAGGUGACAGGAACCAUUUAUCAAUAAAGAUCUUAAGUUGA